rnacentral:misc_RNA from 1 species
GGAGGGACCAGAUGGGUAUGGAGUGUUUGCUUCCAAAGACGUGGAACCUCUCCGUCGAGCUAGGGUAAUAAUGGAAAUUCCUUUAGAACUUAUGUUAACCAUAAGCAAAAAGCUUCCUUGGAUGUUUUUUCCAGAUAUUAUACCUGUAGGACAUCCAGUAUUCGACAUUAUCAAUUCAACCAAUCCCGAGACAGAUUCGGACUUGCGGUUGGCGUGCCUUCUUUUAUAUGCUUUUGAUUGCAAGGACAACUUUUGGCAGCUAUACGGAGACUUCUUGCCUAGUGCUGAUGAAUGCACUAGCUUUCUUCUAGCUACCGAGGAGGAUCUUUUGGAGUUGCAAGACGAGAAGCUUGCUUCUACCAUGAGAGAACAGCAAAAUCGAGCACUUGAGUUUUGGGAGAAAAACUGGCAUUCUGCAGUACCUCUCAAAAUUAAGCGUCUUGCUCAGGAUCCUGAGAGAUUUAUUUGGGCAAUGAGUAUAGCACAAUCUCGAUGCAUCAGCAUGCAAACAAGAAUUGGUUCACUGGUUCAAGAUGCAAAUAUGUUGGUACCUUAUGCUGACAUGAUGAAUCAUUCUUUUCAGCCAAAUUGCUUUUUCCAUUGGCGCUUCAAGGACCGCAUGCUGGAGGUGAUGAUAAAUGCAGGACAAAAAAUUAGAAAAGGAGAUGAGAUGACUGUUAAUUACAUGGCUGGACAGAAGAAUGACUUAUUUAUGCAGAGAUAUGGUUUCUCAUCGCCUGUGAAUCCUUGGGAUGUCAUUCAUUUCACCGGAGAUGCCAAAAUUCAUCUAGACACCUUUUUAUCGGUCUUUAACAUAUCUGGCCUCCCUGGAGAAUAUUACCACAACAGUAAGCUAUCAAAUGAUGGAGACAGAUUCGUCGAUGGAGCAAUAAUAGCAGCCGCAAGAACGUUGCCCACUUGGUCAGAUGGAGAUCUCCCUCCAAUUCCAAGUCUAGAGAGGAAA